AGAGUUUGAUCCUGGCUCAGGACGAACGCUGGCGGCGUGCCUAAUACAUGCAAGUCGAGCGAGCUUGCCUAGAUGAUUUUAGUGCUUGCACUAAAUGAAACUAGAUACAAGCGAGCGGCGGACGGGUGAGUAACACGUGGGUAACCUGCCCAAGAGACUGGGAUAACACCUGGAAACAGAUGCUAAUACCGGAUAACAACACUAGACGCAUGUCUAGAGUUUGAAAGAUGGUUCUGCUAUCACUCUUGGAUGGACCUGCGGUGCAUUAGCUAGUUGGUAAGGUAACGGCUUACCAAGGCAAUGAUGCAUAGCCGAGUUGAGAGACUGAUCGGCCACAUUGGGACUGAGACACGGCCCAAACUCCUACGGGAGGCAGCAGUAGGGAAUCUUCCACAAUGGACGAAAGUCUGAUGGAGCAACGCCGCGUGAGUGAAGAAGGGUUUCGGCUCGUAAAGCUCUGUUGGUAGUGAAGAAAGAUAGAGGUAGUAACUGGCCUUUAUUUGACGGUAAUUACUUAGAAAGUCACGGCUAACUACGUGCCAGCAGCCGCGGUAAUACGUAGGUGGCAAGCGUUGUCCGGAUUUAUUGGGCGUAAAGCGAGUGCAGGCGGUUCAAUAAGUCUGAUGUGAAAGCCUUCGGCUCAACCGGAGAAUUGCAUCAGAAACUGUUGAACUUGAGUGCAGAAGAGGAGAGUGGAACUCCAUGUGUAGCGGUGGAAUGCGUAGAUAUAUGGAAGAACACCAGUGGCGAAGGCGGCUCUCUGGUCUGCAACUGACGCUGAGGCUCGAAAGCAUGGGUAGCGAACAGGAUUAGAUACCCUGGUAGUCCAUGCCGUAAACGAUGAGUGCUAAGUGUUGGGAGGUUUCCGCCUCUCAGUGCUGCAGUCUAGUCGCAUUAAGCACUCCGCCUGGGGAGUA
rnacentral:rRNA from 1 species